AGCUUGCUCCUUCUGGUUUAGCGGCGGACGGGUGAGUAACACGUGGGCAACCUGCCCUGCAGAUCGGGAUAACUCCGGGAAACCGGUGCUAAUACCGAAUAGUUUGCGGCCUCUCCUGAGGCUGCACGGAAAGACGGUUUCGGCUGUCACUGCAGGAUGGGCCCGCGGCGCAUUAGCUAGUUGGUGGGGUAAUGGCCUACCAAGGCGACGAUGCGUAGCCGACCUGAGAGGGUGAUCGGCCACACUGGGACUGAGACACGGCCCAGACUCCUACGGGAGGCAGCAGUAGGGAAUCUUCCGCAAUGGACGAAAGUCUGACGGAGCAACGCCGCGUGAGUGACGAAGGUUUUCGGAUCGUAAAACUCUGUUGUGAGGGAAGAACAAGUGCCACUUAACUACUGGCACCUUGACGGUACCUCACCAGAAAGCCACGGCUAACUACGUGCCAGCAGCCGCGGUAAUACGUAGGUGGCAAGCGUUGUCCGGAAUUAUUGGGCGUAAAGCGCGCGCAGGCGGUUCUUUAAGUCUGAUGUGAAAGCCCACGGCUCAACCGUGGAGGGUCAUUGGAAACUGGAGAACUUGAGUACAGAAGAGGAAAG
rnacentral:rRNA from 1 species